CUCUCAUGGGGGUGAAUAUAGAAAGAGGUAAACAGAAGAAGGAGCUUCCACAUACAAAAAGAAGAAUGGAAGUGUUCCUCUCCUAAAUAAGUCAAUAAAGUAUUCUUUAUUUACCAAUGAGAUUUCCUUUCUGUAUUUUCUUUUAUCCUCAUAACAUUAGUAUGAUAAUUGGUGAAAAGAUAUUAUCCCUACUUCCAAAUGACAAAAUUCUGGAAGAUAUAGCCAAAUACCCUAAUUCAAUGCAUAUAAGCCUGACUAUAUAUACCAGCAUAUCCUUUUUACCCUUAGCUCCUGAGUCUGAACUGAUUUAACUCACAAAUGCUAUGCACACAAACUGAUGGUGUCAUUGAGCCGUGCGCGGCCACCGCGUCCCCUCCCAGCAGUCCUGGGUGGGACAGGAUUCCCACAGUGCCGUGUCUGGGGACCCCCGCAGGCGUGGCCCGGAUCCGUGCGUCAGAGGGCGUCCGAGGAGUGCGGGGGCCGUGCGUGCGUGGCAGCGCCUGGGCUGGGCUGGAGGCCCCGGAGUUGCAGAACCAUCACCCAGAAAAGGAGUCCCCUCUCCUAGUCCCUCCCGCCUCCAUGGAGCCCCCUGCCCCUGCCUGUCCUGUGGGUGGAGCCCCAGGCCAAGUCUCCGCGCGCCCGUGGAGUGGUGAGAAAUUUGGCGUCCGGGGCCCCUUGCACAGUUCCCGCGGGGACGGACGGCCCGGUUUCCAGAGGCCGAAGCAUCCACCGUCAGGCCUCGGCAGGAACGUCUGGUCAAGGCUGGCGGCCUGGAAGUGGACACCAGUUACAGCCGAACCUCAGGUGCACCGCGAGUCAUUUGUUUCUUUCUUUCUAAAGAAAAAUUAGCUUUACUUUCGCAGAGCCUAAUUCAGCUAAAUGUUCAGUUCAGUGAUCUUUAUUUAUUUGUAUUUUCUUCUGAACGGUCCUUGAACUCAUUUUUUAAAAGAAAGACGUGUUGACUCGUUUUAUCUGAAAGGCAGAGAGACGGGGAGAGGCCGGCAGACCCCCACUCACUGCCGGUGUGCCCCCAGGUGAUGCGACAGCCGGGCUCACGCUAAGGGCCAGGGAUGCGGCUGGGGCCUCUCCGACCCGCUCAGGCCACCGUCGGCUGCCGUCCCAAGGUGCGUGGGCAUCCAGGACUUCCAACGCGGGACGCUCGGGUCCCAGGCGGCAGCCCCCGCCUCCCCAAUCCCGCGGGUGGAUUCGACAUUGUUCCCCAAGCCCGCCAGCCAUAGCACUAACUCCGGGGCAUUCCCGUCCCUGGAAAACAUCGGGUCCCCACGCACGCUCGCUCUCCGCCUCCGCCCGGACUUCCUUCCCUCUGCGCGCACCUCCCGCCUGCGUCGGGGCGUCUGGGUGUCCACAGGAGCUGCUGCCAGGCCCCCCGGGGUCCCGUCUACGCAGCCGGGUGCUGUCCAGACCCUAGACACGCUGGGCAGAUGGACUGUCUGAGCAGCUGAGACAUUGUAUCGUUUAGGGAAGGGGGAGAGAACCACACAGACGCGGCUGCCAUUCUGGGUCUUUCCUCUCCAGGUGGGUGGAACCGAGAAGGUGGGUGGCUGUGAAGGUGUGGCCGGGCGACGUGCGGCGCGGCACCUGCCGGCACCAAGGGCUGCUGGUGGCCUCCCCCUCCACCGUCCACUUCCGGGGCGCGCCGGCUGCCUGCGGGCCCUCUUCCUCCCGGCGCCCCUCGCAGAGGCUGUGCAGCUCUGCGUGCCCUGGGGGAGGGGCCCGGCUGCUCCCCAAAACCCUGCCCCAGAGGGAGCUGAGGGCUCUGGUGGGCAGCCCUGGGGGUGCCGCCUACUGCCGCCUCUCGGGGUCUGUAGCGCGCGACGCCGGAGCAGAA
ensembl:lncRNA